rnacentral:rRNA from 1 species
UACGUAGGGUGCAAGCGUUGUCCGGAAUUAUUGGGCGUAAAGAGCUCGUAGGCGGUUUGUUGCGUCGGCUGUGAAAUCCCGAGGCUCAACCUCGGGUCUGCAGUCGAUACGAGCAAACUAGAGUGUUGCAGGGGAGACUGGAAUUCCUGGUGUAGCGGUGAAAUGCGUAGAUAUCGGGAAGAACACCAAAGGCGAAAGCGCUCUGCUGGGCCGAAACUGACACUGAGAGACGAAAGCUAGGGGAGCGAAUGGG